UGAAACUCAAAGAAACAAGAACCAAAGCCACGUCCAAUUGCCAAAGGUGCUUGAGUUGGACCGGCCCAAUACCAGGUUUUUGGAAGAGGCUGCUGGAACAGAAAUAAUUGAAGACCAAGAAGGCAGGCAAAUCCGGGUCAUUUCGGGUCCCUCUCUCGGCCAGACUCAAAGGGGUCUUACCCAAGACAACAACGUUCCAAGCCAAUCACACUCCAAGAGGGAGGAGUGCUUGGAGGAUGGGAGUCUACCUCGGAAUGGUGUACGAUUGUUCUGAUGAAGUAGCUAUUCAGGGUUUGAUCAAUCAGAUUGGAACUAGACGAAGGCUCUGAAUUGCUCCUGUAUACAAGCGAAACUAGAUGAAGGCUCUGAAUUGCUCCUGGUAUCUUUUAUUAUGCUGCAAGAGUCAAAGAUUAGUUUGAAUAACGUAAAUGUGCUUGAGGGGUGGGCUAGAGGUAUGGAUUUUGAAAUUGAGACUCAGCUAGUGGCGAUGUGGAAGAGAGGUUAUUUUGAUAUGAUUAUUACUGUGAAGAGCCCAAGGUGUUUAAUUUUGCUAGUAAAAUUCCCAAAAUUGAGGGAUCCCUGCCUGCUAUUUUAAUCUUUGGCUAAUGGAAGAAGGAUUCAAAGAACACGUUGAGGAUUGCUGGUGUUCGGCUAUAGUAGAAGGCUGGUCUACUUUCGCUUUGAUGCAUAAAUUGAAAGGACUCAGAGGAUUGACUUGUUGAUAAAAGAAGUGGUUUGUGUGGGUGUUAAUCACAUUUAUAUGGGAGCUAAUAGUUUUGCUUACCAUCUUGCUGAGUCAGGAGCACAUAGGUCCAAUUCGAUAUGGGCAAAGUUCUGAAUUGCACCCAUUAUGCACUAGGAUUUUGUUCCUGUCUACACUUGCUGGUUUGUUGUUGGGAUGUGCUAUUUGGGAUGUCCAAACUGACCUGCAAGUUCUGGUCCCUUUAUGACCUUUUUUCUGGUUUGAAGUGCUUUUUCUACUGGUUUAUAAGGAACUUGGACUUCUUCUCUUGUGGUAAAUUUCUCAUUAUGCUGCUGCUGCUAUGUUGAUCUGUUUUGGAGGCUCACUGUCAAGUGAAUUGGCUUGCUGUCCCUUGGUGUGCUCUGCCCUGUCUUAUACCCCCGUGGGCUAUUCCUUCAGUCCCAUGGCUUUGUUUUGCUGCUAUAUUGGUGAACAGACCUUGGAAGUUAUUAAAGGUCCUUAAUCAUUUGAUCCGCUCUUGGAGGAGACAGAGUGUCUGGGUUUAAACAUGUCUACAGAGAGGCAAAUAGCUUGGCGGAUCACCUUGCCAAAUUGGGGUGCAAUUUGGCUAUUCCAAUAUGGGGGGAGACUUUGGCUUGUUUCUGUUCUGCCAUUUAACUCGUAUGCGUGAGAAGAUGUUGUUGUGUUGUGUUUCUACCCCUUGGCGGUGCUGCUCUUGCAUUUAUUUGUUCUUAUGCCCCUGCAUUGCCUAGAGCUGAUGGAUUUUGCAUCUGUUGUUUCUUUCCCUCUGCACUUUCUGGAGCUGUUUUUGUUUCUUUUGCUCGCGGUGAAUUUGCAGUAUUGGUGAUAGCUGUGUUCGUGCUGUUCUGCUAUGUUUCUUUUCAAUUUGCUGAACCUGUUUUGUGCUUUUAUUUUCUUCUCUUUGUACUCCUGCUGUUAUGCUUUAUGCUUUCUUCUUUAUGUUUUUGUUUCCUAGUCUAUUUGAGAAUUUCUUGUCUCAUGAACUCUUAUUUGCUUACUUGAGAAAGCUUGUUCUCAAGACCCUCUUAGUUAAUAUAUUUCUCCUUUCUAAAGAAAAAAUAA